AGCCUUUGAAAUUCGGCAGGGACCGCUUAUAUUGGCUCGCGUCGGCGCAAGCCGACUAUGGCGAUAAAUGGCCUACGGAAUAAGCCUAUCGGACCCGGGGGCGGUACCCGGCGCCUCCACCAUCAACGGCCCAGGGCAGAGUGCCUGGCAAAGCCGGAUUCCCUGCAAGGGGCCGCUGUUGAUGGGGGCGAAAUAGGAUCGACGAGGGUGUAAAGGUAGAACUUUCGCUCGGUAUGGUACCACCGUUAUCGGACCAAAACUUGUAGUUGCGAAUGACAACUAUGCUGAGGCUCGUCUCGCUGCGUAAUGCAGCCUGACUGCUUCGAUUCAAGCCCUGGCGGUUAGCCCCGUCAGGCGGGGUCCGGAGGCACCUGGCAACAGAAGCCUCCAUU
rnacentral:tmRNA from 2 species